rnacentral:rRNA from 1 species
UUGGAGGGCAAGUCUGGUGCCGGCAGCCGCGGUAAUUCCAGCUCCAAUAGCGUAUAUUAAAGUUGUUGCAGUUAAAAAGCUCGUAGUUGAAUUUCGGGAUCAAUAUUUCGGUCAUGCCGUUGGUAUGCACUGUUAUCAUUGAUUUCUCACCUUCUAAAGAACCGUAAUGCCAUUAAUUUGGUGUUACGGGGAAUUAGGACUGUUACCUUGAAAAAAUUAGAGUGUUUAAAGCAGGCUCACGCUUGAAUACAUUAGCAUGGAAUAAUGAAAUAGGACAUCCGAUUCUAUUUUGUUGGUUUCUAGGAUCGAUGUAAUGAUUAAUAGGGAUAGUUGGGGGCAUUAGUAUUCAAUUGUCAGAGGUGAAAUUCUUGGAUUUAUUGAAGACUAACUACUGCGAAAGCAUUUGCCAAGGAUGUUUUCAUUAAUCAAGAACGAAAGUUAGGGGAUCGAAGACGAUCAGAUACCGUCGUAGUCUUAACCAUAAACUAUGCCGACUAGGGAUCGGAUGAUGUUAAUUUUUUAAUGACUCAUUCGGCGCCUUACGGGAAAC